rnacentral:rRNA from 1 species
UACAGAGGGGGCAAGCGUUGUUCGGAAUUACUGGGCGUAAAGGGCGCGUAGGCGGCCUGCUAAGUCGAACGUGAAAUCCCAGGGCUCAACCCAGGAACUGCGUCCGAUACUGGUUGGCUUGAAUCCGGGAGAGGGAUGUGGAAUUCCAGGUGUAGCGGUGAAAUGCGUAGAUAUCUGGAGGAACACCGGUGGCGAAGGCGACAUCCUGGACCGGUAUUGACGCUGAGGCGCGAAAGCCAGGGGAGCAAACGGG